rnacentral:ncRNA from 1 species
GAAACGUCUUCAACCUUUUUUCAAACUUUCAAUGAGUAUGACGUCUCGUUUGCUUGAAUGAAGCGUAGACAUUGAACGUGUAAUCCACGUGAACUAUUUCUGAUAAGCAGAAAUGGCACGCUGUGAGAUGAAUCA